CUCUGGGUGGUGCAACGGUUAACACAUUUGGUUGCUAACCAAAAGGUGGCAGGUUCAAGUCCACCCAGAGU
rnacentral:tRNA from 1 species